rnacentral:rRNA from 1 species
UACGUAGGGGGCGAGUGUUGUUCGGAAUUACUGGGCAUAAAGGGUGCGUAGGCGGAAGUCCAAGCAAGAUGUGAAAGCCAAUGGCCUAACCAUUGAAUUGCAUUUUGAACUGGAUUUCUAGAGUGCAGUAGGGGAGAGCAGAAUUCCUGGUGUAGGGGUGAAAUCUAUAGAUAUCAGGAGGAAUACCGGUCGCGAAGGCGGCUCUCUGGACUGUAACUGACGCUGAGGCACGAAAGCGUGGGGAUCAAAC